AGUGAACGCUGGCGGUAGGCCUAACACAUGCAAGUCGAACGGCAGCACAGUAAGAGCUUGCUCUUACGGGUGGCGAGUGGCGGACGGGUGAGGAAUACAUCGGAAUCUACUUUUUCGUGGGGGAUAACGUAGGGAAACUAACGCUAAUACCGCAUAGGACCUAGGGGUGAAAGCAGGGGAUCUUCGGACUUUGCGGGAUUAAAGGGGCCGAUGUCGGAUUAGCUAGUUGGCGGGGUAAAGGCCCACCAAGGCGACGAUCCGUAGCUGGUCGGAGAGGAUGAUUAGCCACACUGGAACUGAGACACGGUCCAGACUCCUACGGGAGGCAGCAGUGGGGAAUAUUGGACAAUGGGCGCAAGCCUGAUCCAGCCAUACCGCGUGGGUGAAGAAGGCCUUCGGGUUGUAAAGCCCUUUUGUUGGGAAAGAAAAGCAGCAGGUUAAUACCCCGCUGUUCUGACGGUACCCAAAGAAUAAGCACCGGCUAACUUCGUG
rnacentral:rRNA from 1 species